GCCGGGCGUGGUGGCUCACGCCUGUAAUCCCAGCACUUUGGGAGGCCGAGGCGGGUGGAUCACCUGAGGUCAGGAGUUUGAGACCAGCCUGGCCAACAUGGUGAAACCCCGUCUCUA
rnacentral:SRP_RNA from 2 species